rfam:Salmo salar isolate Sally breed double haploid chromosome ssa22, whole genome shotgun sequence.
GUAGUUACGGGGACAUGGUGCCCAAGACGAUCGCAGGGAAGAUCUUUGGUUCUAUCUGUUCUCUGAGCGGGGUGCUGGUAAUCGCCCUGCCUGUUCCCGUCAUCGUGUCCAAC